GCUGGGAGGGGAUUACGAGGGACCGUUGUGGUGUUAUUGAGAGGCAAGGAACGCAUGUGGCAUGAGUGCGUGGGGUUUGGCUUGUGUGAGAGUUGGUUGUAGUUGUAGUGGUGUUUAUGAGGCAGUAGCUCAGGACCAGAAGGCAUGUGGGUCACUGUGGAUCGUGAUAUGUAUGUGAUGUAGUAGAAGCAGGUAAAGAGAGGACAAGUGUGUGUGUGGUGUUGUACAAUAGGAAAGUUCAUUUGUAAGCGAUAGCGGAGUGAAGGUGUUGUGUUUUCAGAGAGGGCGUUGGCAGAAGAAGUGGAAUGUUUGGGUCACUGUUGUGUUAUAGUUGAAAAAUGUAGUAGUGAGCAACUGAAGGUGUGUGACUGGAGGCCUUGUGUUGAUGCAUGUGCUAGUUGCUUGUAGUGUGGUGUUUAGGAGGCAGUAGGAAAGGGAGUAGAAGGAAUGUGUAGCUGUGAAUGUGAAGGUGGUGGACAAUGGGAUGGUGCUAGAGGUUUUGAUGUGAGUGUGGCUGCUGUUGUGGAAAUGUGGUAGCGGUGGAGAAAGUGAAGCUAUAAAGUGUGUAUUGGGCUGUGUGUGAGGUUGGUAAGUAGAGUGAGGAGUUAUGUCAGAGAGGGUUGUGAGCAAAGUGUUGGUGUUGGCUUAAUGUGGUGUAGUAGAAACAUGCAGGUUAUGUUGAAGUACAAGGCCCGUUGUUGUGUGGGUACUGGAUGUGUAAUGUAGGGGUGGCAGUAUGCAGCUGUGGCAGUGGAGUGUUUGUGGCGUUGGUGGAAUGUGCAGUUUGUGCUUUGAUGUGCAGGUUGUAAGUGAGUGAUAGUGAAAUGGGAGUGUGUUUUCAGGGAGGCUGUUGUGUCAGAAGAAGUAGGGCCCUUUGGGUGGAUGUAGUGAAGUGGUGCUGAAGGUGGGGUUGGUAGGUGCAGCUGUGUGUUUAGAAGAAAUGUGUGUUAGUCGUAGUUGUUGUGGAGAAAGUGAAGAAGCAAAGUGUGUGUAGUUGCGUCGUUUGAAGUAGAGGAUGUAGGUGGUGGAAGUAGUAGUUAGAAGUGGAGUUGAGAUUGUGUAUGUUUUCAGAGAGGGUAGUGUUGGCGUGACGAGGUUGUUACGAGGCAAGUAGGUAAAGAGUGGAAGGCGUGGUUGCUUGUGAAUGUUUUGUGAAGUUGUCAUGUGUUGUGUUGAGGGUGAGGAAGGAGGUAUUAGUCGUAGGUCCCUUGUAAUGUGGUGGUGGUGUUUGUACAGGAGAAAUAGUUUUGUGCAGGUUGUGUGUAGAGGUCCAGAGUAGUACGAGAUAGUGGAGUUUAAAAGGGGUGUGUUUUCAGAGAAGAAGUUGUGCAAGGUGGCAGGAGAGUUUGUGUGUGUUGUUGUGAAUUGAUGCUGUUGUACUUGUUGUUCUUGUCUCCGAAGGCAUGGUGUUGGUGGCUAUCAACCGGUACGAGUAGCUGCACAUGUUUUGGGGAAGACGUGAUGGACGCUUACAGCGGUGGGGACACGGGCGACAUGGAUCCUCACAUGUUGUCUGUGGCCGAGGACGCCUCCAGCACUUAGAGAGAGAGCAGAAGAAGCAGUCCAUCUUCAGCAGCGGAGAGUGGGGCUGGGGGAAGUUAGGCCAACUUGGCAGACACCGUGUUCCCCGAGGCGGUCGGAGGGGUGGCGCAGCGUGGAGGACGGAGUGUUGGCGUAAAAUGAUGUGAUGGAGGUGGAAAGAGUUAGUGGUUGCUGCUUUGGCGUAAGGUGGCAAAAGUUGUUUGUGAAAGUGUAAAACAAUGUUGUUGUUAUGUGUAAGAAUGUAAUAAAAUGUGUAAUAAAAAGUGUGGAAAAGAAA